AUUGAACGCUGGCGGCAGGCCUAACACAUGCAAGUCGAGCGGAUGAAGGGAGCUUGCUCCUGGAUUCAGCGGCGGACGGGUGAGUAAUGCCUAGGAAUCUGCCUGGUAGUGGGGGAUAACGUCCGGAAACGGGCGCUAAUACCGCAUACGUCCUGAGGGAGAAAGUGGGGGAUCUUCGGACCUCACGCUAUCAGAUGAGCCUAGGUCGGAUUAGCUAGUUGGUGGGGUAAAGGCCUACCAAGGCGACGAUCCGUAACUGGUCUGAGAGGAUGAUCAGUCACACUGGAACUGAGACACGGUCCAGACUCCUACGGGAGGCAGCAGUGGGGAAUAUUGGACAAUGGGCGAAAGCCUGAUCCAGCCAUGCCGCGUGUGUGAAGAAGGUCUUCGGAUUGUAAAGCACUUUAAGUUGGGAGGAAGGGCAGUAAGUUAAUACCUUGCUGUUUUGACGUUACCAACAGAAUAAGCACCGGCUAACUUCAUGC
rnacentral:rRNA from 1 species